rnacentral:rRNA from 1 species
UACGUAGGGGGCAAGCGUUGUCCGGAUUUACUGGGCGUAAAGAGCGCGUAGGCGGUUCAUUAAGUGUGACGCUAAAUCUCUUGGCUCAACCAAGAAACUAUUUCGCAUACUGAUGGGCUGGAGUGAUGCAGAGGUGGAUAGAAUUCCCGGUGUAGCGGUGAAAUGCGUUGAUAUCGGGAGGAAUACCCGUGGCGAAGGCGGUCCACUGGGCAUCAACUGACGCUGAGGCGCGAAAGCGUGGGUAGCAAACAGG